GUACACGCUGUGACUAGCAUAUCAAUAAGCGGAGGAAAAGAAACUAACAAGGAUUCCCCUAGUAACGGCGAGUGAAGCGGGAAGAGCUCAAAUUUGAAAUCUUAAAGGGUUUCCCUUUACGAAUUGUAGUUUAAAGAAGUGUUUUCUGUUGAGGUUUUGGUAAAAGUUCUUUGGAAUAGGACAUCAUAGAGGGUGAGAAUCCCGUAUUUGACCUUUACUUUCAACUUUGUGAUACACUUUCAAAGAGUCGGAUUGUUUGGGAAUGCAGUCCAAAAUGGGUGGUAAAUUUCAUCUAAAGCUAAAUAUUGGCGAGAGACCGAUAGCGAACAAGUACCGUGAGGGAAAGAUGAAAAGAACUUUGAAAAGAGAGUUAAACAGUACGUGAAAUUGUCAAAAGGGAAGCGUUUGACACCAGUGUUGUUUUUCUGAGAAUCAAUUAAAGAACUGUUUAUGCUAAGUUGUUCAGACUUUAUCAGCUAACUGCUUAGUUUUGAGCUUUUCUUUAAUGCACUUUUCAGUUAACAAGUCAACAUCAAUUUCUUUUGCUGUAAAAAAGCUUGAGGAAGGUGGCUUGAGAUUCGUCUUAAGUGUUUAUAGCCUCUUGCCUAUGCAGUCGGAGAGAUUGAGGUCUGCAGCGUAGAUCCUUCGGGGCUAAAUGCAUUUGUGCUAAGUUAUAGCAUUUUAUAGACAACUUGUUGACUAUGAUUUGUCUUGUAGCUUACUCGCUUAUGUUAUUUUACCUACGCUUAGGAUGUUGAAGAUGUAGCACAUCAU
rnacentral:rRNA from 1 species